rnacentral:rRNA from 1 species
GACGAACGCUGGCGGCGUGCUUAACACAUGCAAGUCGAACGGUGAUGCUCCAGCUUGCUGGAGUGGAUCAGUGGCGAACGGGUGAGUAACACGUGAGCAACCUGCCCCAGACUCUGGAAUAAGCGCUGGAAACGGCGUCUAAUACUGGAUACGAAACUGGCCCGCAUGGGCAUGGUUUGGAAAGUUUUUCGGUUUGGGAUGGGCUCGCGGCCUAUCAGCUUGUUGGUGAGGUAAUGGCUCACCAAGGCGACGACGGGUAGCCGGCCUGAGAGGGCGACCGGCCACACUGGGACUGAGACACGGCCCAGACUCCUACGGGAGGCAGCAGUGGGGAAUAUUGCACAAUGGGCGAAAGCCUGAUGCAGCGACGCCGCGUGAGGGAUGACGGCCUUCAGGUUGUAAACCUCUUUCAGCAGGGAAGAAGCGAAAGUGACGGUACCUGCAGAAGAAGCACCGGCUAACUACGUG